AUUGAACGCUGGCGGCAUGCUUUACACAUGCAAGUCGAGCGGCAGCGCGGGGCAACCUGGCGGCGAGCGGCGAACGGGUGAGGAAACCAUCGGAACGUGCCCGAGAGUGGGGGAUAACGCCGCGAAAGCGGCGCUAAUACCGCAUAUUCUCCGAGGAGGAAAGUGGGGGACCUGCAAGGGCCUCACGCUCACGGAGCGGCCGAUGUCGGAUUAGCUAGUUGGUGGGGUAAAGGCUUACCAAGGCGACGAUCCGUAGCUGGUCUGAGAGGAUGAUCAGCCACACUGGGACUGAGACACGGCCCAGACUCCUACGGGAGGCAGCAGUGGGGAAUUUUGGACAAUGGGGGCAACCCUGAUCCAGCCAUGCCGCGUGCGGGAAGAAGGCCUUCGGGUUGUAAACCGCUUUUAGCCGGGAAGAAAAGGCGACUCUUAAUAGGGGUCGUUCUUGACGGUACCGGCGGAAUAAGCACCGGCUAACUACGUGCCAGCAGCCGCGGUAAUACGUAGGGUGCGAGCGUUAAUCGGAAUUACUGGGCGUAAAGCGUGCGCAGGCGGUUCGUUAAGUUCGUUGUGAAAGCCCCGGGCUCAACCUGGGAACUGCAAUGGAAACUGGCGGGCUUGAAUGCGGCAGAGGGGGGUGGAAUUCCGCGUGUAGCAGUGAAAUGCGUAGAGAUGCGGAGGAACACCGAUGGCGAAGGCAGCCCCCUGGGCCGACAUUGACGCUCAGGCACGAAAGCGUGGGUAGCAAACAGGAUUAGAUACCCUGGUAGUCCACGCCCUAAACGAUGCUCACUAGGUGUUGGGGAAGCGAUUCCUUGGUACCGUAGCUAACGCGUGAAGUGAGCCGCCUGGGGAGUACGGCCGCAAGGUUA
rnacentral:rRNA from 1 species